CAAUUAUCUGCAUCAAACACCACCACAGAAAACACACAAGCUUGUUUAAGGAUUCAUUCCAACAGUACUUCACAACUGCCGAAGCUAAGAUGUAACAUGUAAGCAGAAACAGAAAUAGCUACCAUAGUGGGUAAAUUAGCAUAAUUUAAAAUUCAAUAUCAUUAUAAACCAAAUUGGAGUAAUUUUGAUGGUGAUAUAGCUUUGGGUGGAUAGAGAAAGUCAGGAUAGCAUACUGCAAAUGUUUUCUUUCUUCAAAUUUAUAUUGGCUUUUCAUUUUACUUUGUGAUACCAUAAUCAAAG
rnacentral:misc_RNA from 1 species